GCUGGGAGAGAGAAGAGUGAGCAGCAGCCCUGCAGCCCCCCAGGUGAGUGCAGCAGGAGGGCAGGAGGUGCUCCAGGCAGGCAGCAGCAGUUCCCCUGUGGCCUGUGGAGGGGCCCCUGGUGGAGCAGGCUGUCCCCCUGCAGCCCAUGGGUCCCACAUGGAUCAGAUCUCCACGCUGCAGCCCCCCCAUGGGUGGAGGAGCCCCCGGUGGAGCAGGUGGAUGUGGCCUGGAGGAGGCUGCGGCCCAUGGAGAGCCCCCGCAGGAGCAGGCCCCGGGCCGGAGCUGCAGUCCGUGGAGAGGAGCCCACGCAAGAGCAGGGAGUCUGGGGGGAGCUGCCGCCCACCCGUGGGGGACCCGUGCUGGAGCAGUUUGCUCCUGGGGGAUGGAUGGACCCCGUGGGAUGGAGCCGUGUGGGAGCAGGUGGAUGUGGCCUGGAGGAGGCUGCGGCCCAUGGAGAGCCCCCGCAGGAGCAGGCCCCGGGCCGGAGCUGCAGCCCGUGGAGAGGAGCCCCCGCAGGAGCAGGGGGUCUGGGGGGAGCUGCCGCCCACCCGUGGGGGACCCGUGCUGGAGCAGUUUGCUCCUGGGGAUGAUGGAUGGACCCCGUGGGAUGGAGCUGUGUGGGAGCAGUGCUUGAAGAGCUGCUGCCUGUGGGCAGCCCCCGCAGGCUCAGUUGGGGAAGGACGGCAUCCAUGGGAGGGACCCCACGGGGAGCAGGGGCAGAGAGGGACCGAGAAAGAGCAGCAGAGAUGAAGCAUCAGGGACUGACCACAGCCCCCAUUCCCUGUUCCUCUGCACUGCUUAGUGGAAGGAGGGAGAAGAGGGUAGAUAGAGAGAAGGUGUUUUUAGUUUGAAUUUUUAGUUUCUCACUGCUCUAUCAUGUAAGUACUGGUUAAUAAAUGACAUGAAUCUCCCUAUGCUGAGUCUGUUUUGCCCAUGAUGGUAAUUGUUGAGUGAUCUCCCUGUCCUUAUCUCAAUCUUUUAGCCCAUUUCAUCGUAUUUUCUCCCCAUUUGCCUUUAAUGGUGGUUGUGAUGGAGUUCAGCUGCUGAUCUGAGAAAAACCAACACACAUGCUAUGAAGAAACCACAAUAU
rnacentral:lncRNA from 1 species